rnacentral:rRNA from 1 species
GACGAACGCUGGCGGCGUGCUUAACACAUGCAAGUCGAACGGUGAAGCGCCUUCCUUUUUGGUGGGUGUGGAUGAGUGGCGAACGGGUGAGUAACACGUGAGUAACCUGCCCCCUUCUUCUGGAUAACCGCAUGAAAGUGUGGCUAAUACGGGAUAUUCUGGGUCUGUCGCAUGAUGGGUCUGGGAAAGAUAUUGUUUCGGUGGGGGAUGGGCUCGCGGCCUAUCAGCUUGUUGGUGGGGUGAUGGCCUACCAAUGCGGUGACGGGUAGCCGGCCUGAGAGGGUGGACGGUCACACUGGGACUGAGGCACGGCCCAGACUCCUACGGGAGGCAGCAGUGGGGAAUAUUGCACAAUGGGCGCAAGCCUGAUGCAGCGACGCCGCGUGAGGGAUGGAGGCCUUCGGGUUGUGAACCUCUUUCGCCAGUGAAGCAGGCCUGCCUCGUUUGUGGGUGGGUUGACGGUAGCUGGAGAAGAAGCGCCGGCUAACUACGUG